GACAAUAUUACUUCCAAAAUGCCUCAGCUAUGUGAGAUUGAUCGCAUAACCCAAUACACGAGGCAACCCUCGGAUCGAAUUGUCGAUUAUAUCUCUACCUAUUCAUAAGUUCACUCAGCCCGGGUAUAGGACUUUUGAUAUUCUCACCCCACACGUCAAAUGAAGAUAAACAAGUAUUCACAUAUGUAAGCAAUAAAACAAAGCGUAAAUAUAAACUAAGGAAAACUAGGCGUGACCCGCUAAAAGUGUCCCCAGUGAAGUCGCCAUUUCUGUUAUCGCGAUUUUCGGGUGUCAAGUCAUUAAUUAGGCUUGAACCUUUCAAUCUUUGAUAUUCUCUAUUUUUUCUUGGGAAG
rnacentral:lncRNA from 1 species